rnacentral:ncRNA from 12 species
AGGAGGAGGGCCCCAAAUGAUGCGAAGCAUCAUUUAUCUCAUGGGCCCGACGAACUGCCGACGACGCCGCAGGCGGAGGGGGCGACACCUUAA